rnacentral:lncRNA from 1 species
AUUUCGAUUACUUAUCACCUUUCCUUUGAACCUCUGUAUCACAGGGCAGCAUAAAGAUAGGACCAUCCAGGGCUAAAGCCAAGGGCACUGAAAAUGUUCCCAUGGCCAAGAAGUGCUUGCCCACCUUGACAACUCAUUGGAUGGCUUGUCCAUCCUUUUCCCCAGAAGCAGCGUGUUGCCAUUAGUCAGCUAUGUGUGACCAAUGUGGAUGUGCCAGCUUAAGAUGGUCACUUUUUUUAUUUUGACCAGCCCAGUUUAGCUAUAGAUGAUGAUGAUAAAGUUGCUCUCGCUGGAUGAGAAAUGAAACACCAUAUCCACUUUGAGGUACUUCAUCACAAACAAUGUAUUUGCCAACAUCCAAGGGAACUUAUAAUCUGAUAUAACUUGAUCAUCUUCCUGUGACGUAUAUCAGAGGAGAAGGUCACCUUCAGUUCAUCUCUGGCAUGACUCCUAAAGUGGUGUGAAAUAUCAGAAGUGGUGAGUGUUGGGAGGACAAACAUAUCAUCUGGGAAGGUGACCACAUCAGUGAAGGCAGCGUGAACUCACAGGCCUCGCUGGGGAGUCUAUCAAACCUUAGAGACGAGUCAGGAGAGGCAGCACUUCUGCAUAAGGCAGCCUUUCGGGAAGGCUUUCUGUCCCAAAUCUGGCCCCUUGCUGAUCAUGAAAGCUCCUUUGCAUCUGUUUCCUGGAUACCUGCAGAGCUUGCUCUCCGGUGGCUGUCUUGGCUUGGUUCAACUCUCACCUCAGCUAACAGACCCCUGACGGCUCGACGGCUCUAAGACAGCCCCUUCAAACAACAUCUAUUUCUCUUCCUUCGUGGCACUUGUCAGCACCCUACUUGUUUUAAAUGCACUUGCCUAUUGGACCACUGUCCACGUCUCUCCUCUUGUAUGUGAGCUCCCCCUGCUGGGGUGUAGGGACUUUGUUCACUGUUGCAUUCCCAGAAUCUAGUACAGUGCCUGGUAAUAUGAUAGGUGUUCAGUAAAUACUUGCUGAUUAAUUAUAUAAUGUAUGAUUUAAUGCAUAUUCAGAGAGAAUCUGUAGGCAUUUUUAAGUUCGGAACUAGAAAAAAAUUUCUAAGCUGCAUAUUGUCUAAGUUCUUAGGGUAUCAUCAGUAUUCUUCUAACUCAGCCAUGUAUAGAUGUGUUGUUUAUAACAUUUAAAAAGACAUUGAUAUAUAUGACAAACUGCACCACUCGUUCCAGUGACAUGAUAUAAAUCGAGCAGAGAACUUCAUGAUACUGGUUGUAUCAUAAUUUUUGGCCAUCAUACUGUAUCUAGCAGCAAAUAAAUGUAUAUCGGGGUUACAAAGAGCAAGAAACUUCUUAUAGUCCCUUGAUAUACACCAUCUGGUGCAGGAAUACUGUAACUUCCACUCCUCCAUUGUUCAAGAGA